GUCUCUGUGGUGAAUUCACCUGCAACAUGGCUAUGACAUGCUCUCUCUCCCAGAUCCUUUCACUACAAGCCAUCAAAUGCAUUAAAAAUCAGGUCAUCUUCGAAAAUUGAUGAAACAAAACUAAAUAUCACUCGAAUCCGUGCCAUGAAACGUUGCUUGAGAUGCAAUACUCUUUAUCUUGACAAAGAUAACUCCCCAACUGCCUGCUCUUUCCAUGGCCACACCACGGGGGAGAAGGGGUUAUACGCUUUGGCUCCACCACACCAGGGUAUUGACGGAGAGUGGAGUGACCGCUCUGGAGUGAUAGUGUAUAAAUGGAAUGACAAGAAUAAUAGACCAAAUACUGUAAGUGCUGAGUAUGAUGAAAAUGCUCCACCUUGUAGACGGGGGUGGCAUGUUUCAUAUGACGAUGGCUUCACUCUGUAUUAACCCAAAAAUUGUUUUGUUAGCUAAAUUCAGAAGCAUAAGUAACAAUUAAGGAUACAAUUUAGGAUGAGGGGAAAUGCAAGCAUCGAUGAAGUUUGCUCGGGUAAUGUCUGAUGUUUAGACAAAUUAGGCUUGGACAUUAAGGUAUAUCCUGUGCUUUUCUAUUUAUCUACAGUUUGAUUAACAAAUAUCAUUUUCUUGGAUAUUAAGUUCCGUGUAGUGUUUUUUCAUUCAAGAGGUAUGUGGCUGAACAUUUUCGUUUCCUUGUGGACAAGUAGAGCAAUUUGAUUGAUUUUUCCUUUUUGAUGUGCUCAGCAGCAACGAUUGCUUGCAAGGUGUAUUUGGAAUUGAUAUAAUAUCACUGAGGUUGAACAUGCUUUACUUUUAAGCUGGAAUUCAAAGUCUUCUAUUUCAGGAAAUCUACAAUUUGAGCUUUCAGACUACCCGGUGAUCAAAGAAACACAAAAUUCACUGCCAAUCUGUAAAUAUGUAUCCUGCUACCUGAGUUAAUGAUGCUGUUGCAUUGUCGGAGUGCUUUUUGAUAGAGAAUUGCAGCAGAAGCCAGAGGUCAUGCAAAGGCCAGUAGAGCAUGGGGAAUUCAUACAAUUAUGCAUGCCUGUCCAGCACAAAAGCUCAUGUUGCAGAGUAUCGUGUCUCUAUCCUUCCUUCACAUGGCUUAAUCUGGAUACUAGAAGCAAUUGAUGAAGAGCUAUAUAUCCAUGGUGAAUUCCUAAACUAUGGUAUUGUUAGGGUCAACACUAUGAAACAGAACAUCAUGCAAAUGAACCUUUUAAUGAUCACUUGAGAUCGGCCAGGUUUAUCUUUCAUGUUUUCAAUCCAACAGCUAAUUCUCUUUCUGAUUACCAAUAUGUUCACUUGUCAUGAUCUCAAUGAGCAGCUGUUCAUUUAAAAUUCCCUGCUGUAUAUAUAUUGCAAAUAAUAUAUAUCAUUACAUUUCCACAA